rnacentral:rRNA from 1 species
UACAGAGGGGGCAAGCGUUGUUCGGAAUUACUGGGCGUAAAGGGCGCGUAGGCGGCCUGUUAAGUCGAACGUGAAAUCCCCGGGCUUAACCCGGGAACUGCGUCCGAUACUGGCAGGCUUGAAUCCGGGAGAGGGAUGCGGAAUUCCAGGUGUAGCGGUGAAAUGCGCAGAUAUCAGGAGGAACACCAAUGGCGAAGGCAGCUCGCUGGGACGUGACUGACGCUGAGACGCGAAAGCGUGGGGAGCAAACAGG